rnacentral:rRNA from 1 species
AGCAGCCGCGGUAAUUCCAGCUCCAAUAGCGUAUAUUAAAGUUGUUGCAGUUAAAAAGCUCGUAGUUGAAUUUCGGGAUUGACACAUCGGUCGUGCCUUAAGGGGUAUGAACUGGUGUAGUCAAUUUCUCACCUUCUGGAGAACCGCAAUGCCCUUAAUUGGGUGUCGCGGGGAACCAGGACCUUUACUUUGAAAAAAUUAGAGUGUUUAAAGCAGGCAUUUUGCUUGAAUACAUUAGCAUGGAAUAAUAAAAUAGGACGGCAUGAUUCUAUUUUGUUGGUUUCUAGGAUCACCGUAAUGAUUAAUAGGGAUAGUUGGGGGCAUUAGUAUUCAAUUGUCAGAGGUGAAAUUCUUGGAUUUAUUGAAGACUAACUACUGCGAAAGCAUUUGCCAAGGAUGUUUUCAUUAAUCAAGAACGAAAGUUAGGGGAUCGAAGACGAUCAGAUACCGUCGUAGUCUUAACCAUAAACUAUGCCGACUAGGAAUCAGACGAUGUUAAUUUUUUAAUGACUCGUUUGGCACCUUACG